rnacentral:rRNA from 1 species
UACGUAGGGUGCAAGCGUUAAUCGGAAUUACUGGGCGUAAAGCGUGCGCAGGCGGUCCUAUAAGACAGAUGUGAAAUCCCCGGGCUCAACCUGGGAACUGCAUUUGUGACUGUAGAGCUGGAGUACGGUAGAGGGGGAUGGAAUUCCGCGUGUAGCAGUGAAAUGCGUAGAUAUGCGGAGGAACACCGAUGGCGAAGGCAAUCCCCUGGACCUGUACUGACGCUCAUGCACGAAAGCGUGGGGAGCAAACAGG